CUUAACACAUGCAAGUCGAGGGGUAACAGGAGUAGCUUGCUACUUGCUGACGACCGGCGCACGGGUGCGUAACGCGUAUACAAUCUGCCUCAUACUGAGGGAUAGCCUUUGGAAACGAAGAUUAAUACCUCAUGGUAUUAUUGAGUGGCAUCACUUAAUAAUUAAAGGUUACGGUAUGAGAUGAGUAUGCGUCCUAUUAGCUAGAUGGUGUGGUAACGGCAUACCAUGGCGACGAUAGGUAGGGGUCCUGAGAGGGAGAUCCCCCACACUGGUACUGAGACACGGACCAGACUCCUACGGGAGGCAGCAGUGAGGAAUAUUGGACAAUGGAGGCAACUCUGAUCCAGCCAUGCCGCGUGAAGGAAGACUGCCCUAUGGGUUGUAAACUUCUUUUAUAUAGGAAGAAACACUUCUACGUGUAGAAGCUUGACGGUACUAUAUGAAUAAGCACCGGCUAACUCCGUGCCAGCAGCCGCGGUAAUACGGAGGGUGCAAGCGUUAUCCGGAAUCAUUGGGUUUAAAGGGUCCGUAGGCGGAUAAAUAAGUCAGAGGUGAAAUCCUGCAGCUCAACUGUAGAACUGCCAUUGAUACUGGAAAUCUUGAGUACAAAUGAAGUAGGCGGAAUGAGUCAUGUAGCGGUGAAAUGCAUAGAUAUGAACUCAGAACACCAAUUGCGAAGGCAGCUUACUAACAUGUAACUGACGCUGAGGGACGAAAGCGUGGGGGAGCCGAACAGGGAUUAAGAUACCCCUGGGAAGUCCACGCCGUAAACGAUCAUCACUCGCUGUUGGCGAUAUACAGUCAGCGGCCAAGCGAAAGUAUUAAGUGAUGCACCUGGGGAGUACGCCGGCAACGGUGAAACUCAAAGGAAUUGACGGGGGCCCGCACAAAGCGGUGGAGCAUGUGGUUUAAUUCGAGAUACGCGAGGAACCUUUACCAGGGCUUAAAUGUAGUUUGACCGGUCUGGAAACAGACUUUCUCUUCGGAGCAGAUUACAAGGGCGCUGCAUGGUUGUCGUCAGCCCGUGCCGUGAGGUGUUAGGUUAAGUCCUGCAACGAGCGCAACCCCUAUUCUUAGUUGCCAGCGGUUCGGCCGGGGACUCUAAGAAGACUGCCAGCGCAAGCUGAGAGGAAGGUGGGGAUGACGUCAAAUCAUCACGGCCCUUACGUCCUGGGCUACACACGUGCUACAAUGGUAGGGACAGAGAGUUGCCAACCCGCGAGGGUGAGCUAAUCUUCAAACCCUAUCUCAGUUCGGAUCGGAGUCUGCAACUCGACUCCGUGAAGUUGGAAUCGCUAGUAAUCGCAUAUCAGCCAUGAUGCGGUGAAGAAAGUUCCCGGGCCUUGUACACACCGCCCGUCAAGCCAUGGAAGCUGGGGGCGCCUGAAGUCGGU
rnacentral:rRNA from 1 species